rnacentral:rRNA from 1 species
GACGAACGCUGGCGGUGUGCUUAACACAUGCAAGUCGAACGGAAAGGCCCUGCUUUUGUGGGGUGCUCGAGUGGCGAACGGGUGAGUAACACGUGAGUAACCUGCCCUUGACUUUGGGAUAACUUCAGGAAACUGGGGCUAAUACCGGCUAGGAGCUCCUGCUGCAUGGUGGGGGUUGGAAAGUUUCGGCGGUUGGGGAUGGACUCGCGGCUUAUCAGCUUGUUGGUGGGGUAGUGGCUUACCAAGGCUUUGACGGGUAGCCGGCCUGAGAGGGUGACCGGCCACAUUGGGACUGAGAUACGGGCCAGACUCCUACGGGAGGCAGCAGUGGGGAAUAGUGCACAAUGGGCGGAAGCCUGAUGCAGCAACGCCGCGUGCGGGAUGACGGCCUUCGGGUUGUAAACCGCGUUCGCCUGUGACGAAGCGUGAGUGACGGUAAUGGGUAAAGAAGCACCGGCUAACUACGUG